UACGUAGGGUGCAAGCGUUAAUCGGAAUUACUGGGCGUAAAGCGUGCGCAGGCGGUUGUGUAAGACAGAUGUGAAAUCCCCGGGCUCAACCUGGGAACUGCAUUUGUGACUGCACAGCUGGAGUGCGGCAGAGGGGGAUGGAAUUCCGCGUGUAGCAGUGAAAUGCGUAGAUAUGCGGAGGAACACCGAUGGCGAAGGCAAUCCCCUGGGCAUGCACUGACGCUCAUGCACGAAAGCGUGGGGAGCAAACAGG
rnacentral:rRNA from 1 species